AGUGUGGGACGGGGGAGUAAUGUCUGGGAAACUGCCCGAUGGAGGGGGAUAACUACUGGAAACGGUAGCUAAUACCGCAUAACGUCGCAAGACCAAAGAGGGGGACCUUAGGGCCUCUUGCCAUCGGAUGUGCCCAGAUGGGAUUAGCUUGUUGGUGAGGUAACGGCUCACCAAGGCGACAAUCCCUAGCUGGUCUGAGAGGAUGACCAGCCACACUGGAACUGAGACACGGUCCAGACUCCUACGGGAGGCAGCAGUGGGGAAUAUUGCACAAUGGGCGCAAGCCUGAUGCAGCCAUGCCGCGUGUAUGAAGAAGGCCUUCGGGUUGUAAAGUACUUUCAGCGGGGAGGAAGGCGGUGAGGUUAAUAACCUUACUGAUUGACGUUACCCGCAGAAAAAGCACCGGCUAACUCCGUGCCAGCAGCCGCGGUAAUACGGAGGGUGCAAGCGUUAAUCGGAAUUACUGGGCGUAAAGCGCACGCAGGCGGUCUGACAAGUCGGAUGUGAAAUCCCCGGGCUCAACCCGGGAACUGCAUUCUAAACUGUCAGGCUGGAGUCUUGUAGAGGGGGGUAGAAUUCCAGGUGUAGCGGUGAAAUGCGUAGAGAUCUGGAGGAAUACCGGUGGCGAAGGCGGCCCCCUGGACAAAGACUGACGCUCAGGUGCGAAAGCGUGGGGAGCAAACAGGAUUAGAUACCCUGGUAGUCCACGCUGUAAACGAUGUCUACUUGUAGGUUGUGCCCUUGAGGCGUGGCUUCCGGAGCUAACACGUUAAGUCUACCGCCUGGGGAGUACGGCCGCAAGGUUAAAACUCAAUGAAUUGACGGGGCCCGCACAAGCGGUGGAGCAUGUGUUUUAAUUCGAUGCAACGCGAGAACCUUACCUGGUCUUGACAUCCACAGAAGUUUUCUCAGAUGAGAACGUGCC
rnacentral:rRNA from 1 species